CUCACUAUUUUGCCCAGGCUGAUCUUGAACUCCUGGGCUCAAACAGUCCUCCUACCUCAGCUUCCCUAGUAGCUGGAAUGACUCGAACUGUUUUUAUACCAGAGGUUGAAGUCUUGCUUAGAAAGGCUUUCCCUACUUUAAGAACAUUCACCUAGGAGUUCUAGUAUUUUUAAGGUUUACUUUUUGAUACACCUGAAAAUUAUUUUGAAGAGGGAGAUUGGGGUUCAGAUUGCUUUUUGCCCAAGCUGAAACAUCUGGUUUAUUAAAUAAUCAUCUUUUCCUCGCUGAUGUGUAAUUUUGUCAUAUACUAUAUCCUGUAUACUUUGGCUUCUACUGGUGGACUCAAUUAAUUGCUUUUACCCACUUUCUUAUCCCACCGAGAUAAUGCUGCAACUCGAGUCUGAAGCUCCACAGAUCUGGGUGCAAACACAGAAGCAGCUUAGCUCUGGCCUACCUGAACUCUUUAAGCCUCAAAAAAGGAGUAUCUCGGACCUCACUGAGUUAUUCUCAAGACUCAAUGACUGAACAUGUGGCCCAAACCGUCAGGCACGGUUCCAGUCCUGCGCAGGUGGCUUCCCUGGGGAGACUCUGAGCGGGGAGACGGAGCAGGACGCUGCUGCGGGCAUGGCCUGGAGGCCAGCACGGUGGCCAGAUCAAAAAAUUGACUCUAACGAAAAUGUGGAUGUGAUAACCAGGCUAUGGAAUGAUCCUGUGGUUAUAAACCAUCAUCGUAGAAAAGUAUUUGCAGAGAUCAAACAAGCUGGAUGCUGUGGAUGGCCAGAGAGAACACAGAGUGGGGACAGUGACAUCUUUUAAUGACAGCGGGAGGCAGCAGGGGCAGCAGCAGCAACA